UGUCGCAGCUAACGCGUUAAGCAGGGCGCCUGGGGAGUACGUCCGCAAGGCUUAUACUCAAAGGUAUUGUCGGGGACCCGCACAAGCAGUGGUAGCGCCUGGUUUAAUUCGAUGGUCAGCGAAGAACCUCACCUGGGCUUGAACUGUAGCUGCACACCUUGGGAAACCAGGGGAGCCUUCGAGGGGUGCUACAGAGGUGAUGCAUGGCUGUCGUCAGCUCGUGUCGUGAGAUGUAGGGUUAAGUCCCGUAACGAGCGCAACUCUUAUCUGAUGUUAUAAUUUCUUCAGAGACUGCCCCGUUAUAGCGGGGAGGAAGGAGGGGAUGACGUCCAGUCAGCAUGUCCCUUAUGUCCAGGGCUACACAGACGCUACAAUGGCUAUUACAAUGGGCUGCCAAGCCGCGAGGUGGAGCGAAUCCCAUCAAAAAUAGUCUCAGUUCGGAUUGCAGGCUGAAAUUCGCCUGCAUGAAGUCGGAAUUGCUAGUAAUCGCGUAUCAGCAUGGCGCGGUGAUAAGUUCUCGGGUCUUGUACACACCGCCCGUCA
rnacentral:rRNA from 1 species